CCGAACCCACGCUCACCCUCCCCGGCUGCAGGAGACCGACCGGCUGCCGCGCUCGGCUCCCACCCCCUCUCCAGCUGCCCGUCCCACCGGCCUCCUAGCACGGCCCCCCGGGGGCGGCGGGGCCUGAGCCCCCUUGCAGAGCUGGGCGAACUGAGCCCGAGACGCCCUGGAUGCUCACACAGGCUGGAGGGCGGGAUCUUCCAGCGCUUCGCGUAGGCUCGGGGCGCUCCGGUUUCCCCCCAGAUCCAACCUGGCCUAGGGCUUUAGGUGGAGGAAUCCCCGAGCACAGCCCCCUGCACUUAGGGGCUUCACAGAUGGACUUCGAGGGUCUGACAGCGCCCCCUUCUUCCCCCGGAAUAGAAGACAAAAUCACCUACAUACAUUUUUUUUUUCCUUGGGAGAGUAUUCAUGGCUUUCGUUAGAACCUCAAGAGGGUACUGGAUGCAUCUGCUCCAUCCCCCCUAGACUCUGGGCACCUGGGAGCAGAGUCGCAUGGGGUCUCUCUGGCUCAGUGGGUUGGAAGUAUCAUCACCUUCAGGAAACUUUUCUGGAAAAAUCCUAUCCGACCCGCAAAUACCAGCAAACCCCUGAUCCACUCCUUACCCCCUACAAUCCUCAGUGUCAGCUGUUAUAUCCAGGGACGGCCAGCUUCCUCCUCCUGCCACCCUGCCUCCCCCGCAGUCUGGUUAAAUGGAAGGGCCAUGGGCUUGGUUCUUCACUGAGUGCCAGGACUGGCUCCUUGCUGAGGGCCGUUUGCACCCUACUGACUCCUGCUUACACCUGGAAGUGAGAGAAAUCCAUAAAUGGCCCAUCUUGGACCAUCGAUGGGUGGCCUACAUCCUGGAAAUACUUGAGGAGCAAGCAAACCAGAUCUAACAGCGAGUGAACCCCCACAUCAUCGCCUUCCUAGCCAGAGUGUGCAGAGUGGACUGGCAGGCUCGGUCUGAGGUCAGCAUGGGGUGAGUGGCAGACAGCUUGGUGCCAAGGACUGUACCCACGUGACCCGGCCACCCUACCCCACAUGAAUGCCAACGGCGGAGAUGGGAUCCUGUCCUUGUCUGGGGAUGCAACACCCCCUUAAAUCACCCUGAAAAUACUUACCCGUUAUGGAAAGUUUUCUUGUAUCUUCUGUGUCUGAAGUUACUUCUCUUUCUUGAGGAGCAUUGUCCCUGCCCCUAUGUACUUAGCUUUGUUUCCUUUUCACACCAGAAGCUUUUGUCAAAUGUCUGACGGUCUUUGACUUUCCAUAUUUAAGAGUGAGGCUGGACUGGUCAGUUGGCAGAUUUCAUUUCCUUUGGGAAGGGAGCCUGGGUCACAAGGGGUGGGGGACUCCAAGUAACGGAGGUGGCAGCCGCUUCUUUGGGGUCGUUGAACCUUCUGAUUGGGGAUGGAUCCCUGGCUGCCCCAUGUGUUGCUUAGGGAUCUGCUGUCCCUACGCUGUUGGCCAAUCCUUCUCUUGUCAGCCACAGCACCACCUCCAGCCUCCUCUACGCGGUCCAACCCUGUGGUCUCUCUGAGGCCUGAGCCCCGCUGUGGUUCUGCUGGGAUGAUGUGGGGCCUUCCCAGCCGCCUCCCACUCUGUCCUCCCUCUUCAUCGGGGACCACUCUUCUCCAUGUCCACCGCUAUCUACUCGCCGAAAAUGUUCAUCAGUGCUGGCCUCCCUCCUGUUCUCUUCCUCAUUAGGAGAGUGUACUUUUCAGGCGCCUGGGUGGCUCAGUGGGUUA